ensembl:lncRNA
UUUGGGAAAGCAAACGAUUUCAUUUCUGCUGAGAAACACACAGCAAAAGGAAAACUAUAAAUAAGGAAUAAUUAUCAGAAGCUUUGUGAUAAUGAGUCCGGUGACACACAAACAGGCAUAAUGCCAGACAGCAACAGGUCACAACACAUCUGCCGGCCUUGGGCAGUAAUAUUAAAUUGUACCUUGGUGAUUUUCGAUAUCAUAUUCAUUGCUCAAGGGGUAGUUGGAUUGGUGUACAGCACCGACUGUCCGAGGCAGCCCUUCAUCCCCGUCUAUAUGUGUUUUUUCAUACUCGUACCCAUCUUGUUGGCACUGAGCUGGUGCUACAACUGUUGCAACAUCGUUCUGUGCUCUGUGGCCAUCAUCUUCUAUGUUUGCUGGUUCAUCACAGGUAAUGUGAUGAUCUACUCCAUUUACGAACCGAACUACAAUAAAAACACAACAAAAGCCGAUCCAUACUGCAACAAGACGCUCUACCUGUUUGCAUUUUGGAGCACCAACCUGACCUACAUCCUGUUAGGUGUGCUCCUCUUGUCCUAUUGCUGUCGUAAGCAACGAGAGGCUGAUGAUGAUAACACUCGGAGUCUGCUGCGUGGAUGAAAAGAAAACUAAUAAAUAAAAAAUGAAGCUUUGAACAUGUUGGAAUUUGGCUUUGAUAUGUGUCUUAUAUAUGUUUAGAGCUUUUAAUAACACAACACACUUUUUUCUUUUCAGAGAAAUGUCACAAUUUACAGGUAAAAUACAAAGUUUAGUGGAAAAUGUUUAAUCUUUUUUUUAUUAUUAUUAUUUUCACGGCAGAUUUCUGUUAUCUAAACAUUUGACUGGAUGUUUUUAAUAAUAUAUAUAAUGUUAGGCAAAAUAAUGAACAAGAAUAUUUAAAAUAGCUCAAAACAGAAUAUUUAUUGGAUAGAGCUGUUUAGUCAGAGGGUAAAUUGGUUGUGUAUCAAAAUGCUUGUUUACUUUCUGAAUGUUCAUGUGCAAAAGUCUUUAGCCACCCAUCUUUUCUUCAUAUUUGGCUUCCAAGCAACCAGAGUUUUUUUUUUGGUUUUUGUUUUUUUUUUUUAAAAGUGGUCUUGAGCAGUGGAGUCGUGGCCAAAUGCUGCUUCAGUUUUUAUGAUGGCAAUUUGCAUAUACUCUCGAAUGUUAUGAAGAGUGAUUAGAUGAAUUGCAAAAUUCAUCUCUGUCAUGAAAAUGAACUUAAUCCCAAAAAACCCACUUCCACUGCAUUUCAUCGCUGGCAUAAAAGUAGACCGCUUCAAUAAUCUUCUCGGUAGCACAGGAAAGAAGGUUGAUGAGCACAAGGCUAGAGAUCAUGUCAUGCUGAUUGAGUUGGAAUAGCACACUGGAUGUGUUAAAAGGGGAUUCUUGAAAUCAUUCUUCUUAUUCAUAAUUGCGUUGCAUAAAAAGGGUUUGACAGGCAAGGAGGUUGUUGCAACUGAGAUUUCACCUAAAUUAACCUUUUGUCGGAUCAUCAAGAACUUUUAGGAAACAGGUUUAAUUGUUGUGAAAAAGGCUUCAGGUCACCCAAGAAAGUCCAGCAAGCACCAGGAUCGUCAGCUAUGGGAUCAGUGCCACUAGUGCAGCGGCGGCUCAGGAGUGGCAGCAGGCAGGUGAGAGUGCAUCUGCACACAUCUCAACAUUAUUGAAGCAGUGUGAGAUCAGUUUGACAGAGAACAGAACAGAAGGCAGAAACAUCCAAAGAAGAGCUUUGAAUGUCCUUCAAGAUGUCUGGAGAUCUAUUCCUGAAGAUUUCUUACAGAAAUGACAAAGUUUGUCAUAUUUGUGAUUAAGGAUUAAACGCAGUCACAGCAAAUAUGGACUUCCAAGCUUGUUAGUAACUGUAGAAACACUUUUUUCUUUAUAUACUGCAUUUCCAUCAUAUGUCUGUGAAGGUUCUCAGUCAUCCAGGUCAUCGUAGUCAAAGGAGUUUGCAAAGAAAAGCGUCUGGA